rnacentral:rRNA from 1 species
UACGGGGGGGCAAGCGUUGUUCGGAAUUACUGGGCGUAAAGGGCGCGCAGGCGGCUGCUCAAGUCAGGCGUGAAAGCCCUCGGCUCAACCGAGGAAGUGCGUUCGAAACUGCAGAGCUUGAGUACCGGAGAGGGUGGCGGAAUUCCCCAAGUAGAGGUGAAAAUUCGUAGAUAUGGGGAGGAACACCGGUGGCGAAGGCGGCCACCUGGACGGUCACUGACGCUGAGACGCGAAAGCGUGGGUAGCAAACAGG